GUAGCGGGGUUGUUCUACUUCGCUUUUAUGCACGUAUAACUUGUAUAUUUCCUGUUCGUUCACGCGGGUUGAUCGCCGUGGUAGGUGCAGAGGAAAAUAAGCGGUGACAUCGUUGCGCCUCUCUCUGUUCAGGGCUCGCGGGGUAGAGGGGAGGAGAGCGGAGAAGGUAGCGGAGGAGGGGAGAGGAGAGAGAGAGGCAGAGGAGGGAGAGUUGGGAUCGGCGGUGGUGGGUGGGAGAUGACGAGGUGGUGCGUGGGUGGAGGGGAGACCUAGUCGACGUCUGGCCGACCACGCGCGUCCGCCGCCGCGAGGUGAGUUCCCGUUUCCCUCCGUUGCCGCCGCCACCAGGGACGUCCUUUUCAUACUGCCGCCACCGCGAGCUAAGUUAGACAUCAUCUCUCUCCACCUUCUUUAUCUCUCCUUUAUCCUCUCCCUCCACGCCGCUGCCCUCCCUCUCGCAGUGGCCGCCAUCUAAGGGGUCGGGGCAGGACCUCGACCCCGGCACCCGUGCCGGACGCAAACCGCUCCUUCCCGCUCGCGUCGCCACUUGACUCGAGGAAGGGGCCGGGGAGAACCCACGCCGGACGCAAACCGCUCCCGCCCGCUCGCCUCGCCGCCCGACUCGAGGCAGGAGUCGGGGAGAAGUAGUGCUUCUUAAACUAUGUAUACUAGGAUUCCUCUUAUCAAGCGAUGAUGGAAUCAACUCCUUCGCCAGACUUUAAUAGCUCUAUCAACCUCGGGCACUAUAAUAGAAACGAAAUCGUGUCGACCCUCAUACACGACGCAAGUCAUCUCACUGUUUGGUUGUCUAAACGAAAGACUUACCUUCAGGUCUACUUCAGUAGGCAUCGAAGAAAAUAUUGUUCUUGUUACUGAGCGAAUAUUGGCAUAGUCAAGUACCAAGACGUUUAAAGUCACGAAAUUCUACGUCCUGUUGAGCUUAACUCAUAUAUGCGGCACCUUUCAGUCUACGACCAAAGGGAGAAAAACUCUGUCUUAGCAGCUCCACCGGUCCAAAGCACCACAAACUACUACAUUUGCCUUUCCACGGCUGAAUGAGACGAGUUCUGUCUACUGAGUCACUACAGGAAUGGUAGAACCGAUACCAGACCUCUAGAACCCAUAGAGCGACUACAGUAGAUAGGGUCCAACCACUUUAAUGUUGUUUAGACCUCGACAACGAAAGUACGACUACUCCCCGCGUCUUGAUUGAAUUCCUACACAGCAACAGAGACGUUUCCCUCAAAAACGAACCACGCAGUGAGAUAAGCCUCUACGUUGCAGCACAAACGGACCCAUCCAAAAAUGGAAAGUAUACCAGUAACAACGGAGUACGAAAAGAGUCUCUCCCAAAAUAGACAUGACGGCAGAGAGGAGAAGCAUCACGACGAUACGCAUGACGGUGAGCCGCUGAAAAAAGAGAUAAAGAAAAAACGAAAGAAACCCGUACCAGCACAACAACGGGGCCGGUAGAAUCAACGAAGCGAUGAAACCGGUCCAACAUACCUACAAACGAAAUAGAUAUUUCGCCCCACUUUCGGAUAAAACUCUUCCAAAAUAGACAUCGGACGUUGGAAACUCGCAAGAAUUGAUGUGACUAAACAUACCGCUAUUGGUUCAUUGCUACAUUGUAAUGACCGUCCGCCAUCCUUUAAUCGAAAGAAACAGCUCUUCGAACUCUAGACUAAAAUACAGGACAGUCUAACAGGACAAGUAGAAGGAAUACAAAACGUCUAUUAAGUCCUCGUCGGUUGUAAGAAACAAAACGACUUUCAUACACACCCACACUUUUACACAUACCAAAAUACAAGACUAUAUGUGUGUUGGUCAUUCUACACAGGAAACAAAAGUCCGAGUCAACACACAAAGGAUACGGAGAGAACACGAGUAACAUUGGUGCACUAACCAAGUCUGAUAUAUUACGAUACAUACUUGCAUGGAUUUAUAUAAAGUAAUACGAAGUUCUAAAAUACUGGCU
rnacentral:rRNA from 1 species